rnacentral:lncRNA from 7 species
CUUCCUCGACUGUUCUGGAGUGGAUGAAUAUCCAGUUUAUCCACUGUGCAUAUAAUCUAGUGGUGUUGGAUAUUGUAAAAUGAGGUCUCCAGACUGGAAAGUUUGAAUCAUCUACAUCAGCUUAUCUUAAAGUACUGGAGGGGAGGAAAGGUGACUCUCACUUAAACAACUUUAAUCUCAAGGAAGAGACAUGGAUUAAACCAAUGGGAAGUGAGGAAAGCAGAGGAGCAAAGACAUAGGGAAGGGGCUUUCAGGAAUGCAAAUCAGUGAAGAAAAAAAAACUUUUUGAAGACAGCUGGAAAGGGUCUCCUGCUGCCUUGGAAUUCUGCCUGAUUAAAAAUGGGGCCUUUGUGGACAGAAGCAUUCCUGUUCAGAUCUGUCACCCAGCGGUGCUGCGAGACAUAUGCAUGAAUAAUCUUCCUCAUUUUCUGGAAUCUCAAUUCUAAAACAAGUCCUUGACAAAAAUGAGCAGAGCAGAACAUCUAAGAAGGCUCUUAUAGAAACUAAAGUGGGUGAAAAGGAAGGUAGCUGGAGUACUAUUACUGAGGUAUUAUUGUUUUCUGGGUUCUGGCUUAAUUUAUUCUUAGAUGUCCUGAGCAUUUGUAGAUUUGAUUCAAGGUCACUGUAAAGCAAAAUAUAGAACAGUUACAGAUUUAGGAUGGGGAGGAUGUUUUCUGUUGUUCAUUCAUUCCCUUGGUAUAAUCUGCCCAGUCAUAUAUGCUCAGGUCAAAUUAGAAUAUGAGGUUUAUGUUGUCCCAUGUGCAUAUCAAACGUGUGGAUACGCCACCAGCAAACUCAUUGGUUUAGUAUGCUUCUGUCUUCAACAGUUUUUGGAGGGGAGUCCUUACAUGCCAAAGUCUGAUUGUUUCCAUUGCCCAGUGUAUGUUUUUAAAACAGAAAGGAAUGAAAUCAGGUUUCUGCAGCCCAUUUGAAUUGCAAAACACCUCCCCAGGUUUGUUUCUGAAACUUGUGUAACCUUCCCCUUUGCUGAAUCUGUAUUCUUUAACAAAAAGAAUCUGAACCAAAAGUGCCAAAAGACACCCAAAAGUUCUUUGAUUCAACUUAAAAUCAACUUCUCUUAACGUUACGUUUUCUUAAACUUGACAGCACUUUCACUGCUAAUUCCUAUGAAAUGUGAAUCUGGAUUAAAAUAAAAAUAAUAAUAAUCUGC